rnacentral:rRNA from 1 species
AGUAAACCGUUUAGUGGAUAACUAGGCUCAAGCACUGAAGAAGGGCGUGGCAAGCUGCGAAAAGCCUUGGCGAGACGCAUGCAGUCUUUGAACCAAGGGUUCCUGAAUCAAUCCGUUUUGGAUUGGGAACGCGGGGAAUUAAAGCAUUUCAGUACCCGCAGGAAAAGAAAACAAUAGUGAUUCUGUUAUUAGGGGCGACCGAAAGCAGAACAGAGCAAACCGAAUCCCUUAUUGCAAGAUUGGGGAGAUGUGGGGUUGCGAGCCGGGUAUUUCCAAAAAGGCGAGUUGAAGUCAGCUGGAAUGCUGUACCAUAGAGAGUGAUAGUCUCGUAAGCGAAACUGGAUUGGAAAAUUCCUGGAAUUCGAGAGUACCGCGCGUUGGAUAUCGCGUGGGAAGAUCCAAGGCAUUAACUUGGAACACUAAAGAUGACUUGAGUCCGAUAGCGAACUAGUACCGAGAGGGAAAGUUGAAAAGUACCCUUAACAGGGGGUUAAAAGCACUUGAAACUAAACGGUGAUAGUAAGGCAAGGCAUGAAAGAAACGAAGCUGCACGAAAGAAGUAAUCGCAAGGUUAUUGUAUGAGUGUGGUGGAUCAAUGUUUUGUCGUUCGUCUUGAAUCACGAGCUAGGGAGUUUUGGUUAGUGGCGAAACAAAUUCCUUCACGGAAUGAGUUGUAGCGAAAGCGAGUGUGCGCAGUGUUGAACGAGGCACAGAGUCUUAAACGGCUUUUCAGUCACUAGUCAAAGACCCGAAACCGGAGUGAACUAUUCCUGAGCAGGUUGAAGUCUCCCUUCCGGGGGACCGAAGACCGAAACCGGUUCUAGUCUAUCUGUUCGGGUGACUUGGGAAUAGAAGUAAAAGGCCAUUCUAACCCGGUUAUAGCGGGCUCCUCUUGAAAUAGCCCUCAGGCUAGCCUCAAUGGAGCAGGUCAAUGGGGUAGAGAUACUGAUUAGGGGGUACUGGACCGAGAGGUCUAGCUUUCUUGUCAAACUCCAAAUCUAUUGACUGCGGAGAAGUUGGGAGUAGGGGUAUGUGGGGUAAGCCCCAUAUCCUAGAAGGGAAAAACCUAGACUUGGUUUAAGGCCCAUAAAUGCUGGUUAAGUGUGAAUACGAAAAGCGUCCUCUUCCACAGACAGUUGGGAGGUAGGCUUAGAAGCAGCCAUCCUUCAAAGAAUGCGUAACAGCUCACCAAUCGAGGGAAAGGGCCUUGAAAAUAAACUGGGCUAAAACCAGCUGCCGAGAACCAAGACAAGUUUGUGAAUGCAAACUUUUGUAGUAAGGAGGUGCUCUGAUAGAGCCAAAGCAAGGUGGAAACAUCUUGUGAAUCUGUCAGAGAUAUGGAUCCUAGCGCUAGUAGCAACUAAGAAGGGUGAGAAUCCCUUCCGCCGAAAGGGCACGGGUUCCUUAGCGCUAAUCAUUAGCUAAGGGUUAGUCGAUCCUAAGCUGCGUCGUAACGCGUAAGCAGCAAAAGGGAAACAGGUUCAUACUCCUGUACUAUGCAAAUACGUUUUCGGUAACGAUUGCUCUCAAUGCGACGUCUUGGGCUAGUUCAAGCGCACUCGUCUGUGCGUUUAAGAAUCAUAAAUCCAUGGAGAAACGUAAGGUUGAGAAAUGGAUUAAGGUUUCGAAUAGCAGAAAUGUUUGGACAAGGCCUGGGACUCUUAAAAAGCAUUGGGAGAAGGAUUUUGCAUAUUCGUACCUAGAACCGAGAAAGGUGCCCCUGGCUGAGAAGGCCAAGGCGUGUUGGGGAAAAAAUUGGUUAUGGGAAUUCGGCAAAAUAGCCCUGUAUCUUCGGUAUAAGGGGUGCCUGCACUUGAAUAAAGCGCAGGUUGCAAUAACAAGUGGAGUCCGACUGUUUAGCAAAAACGUAGGUGACUGCUAGUCAGCAAUGAUGAGAAUAGUCACCGACUUCUGCUCACUGCCAGUACGUGAAAACCCGGUUCAAAGGGUCUAAGCGCUGGUGAAGAGCGGGCCUAACUCUGAGGCUCUCACGGUAGCGUAAUACCUUGCCGGUUUAUUGCCGGCUUGCACCAAGGAAGGAACGAGAUUCCAGCUGUCCUUAACCAAUGCCCAGCGAAAUCACUGUGUGGUGAAUAUGCCACAGACUCCCAACGGGAAGAGAAGACCCCACGGAGAUUUACCGCAGCCUGAUGUUGUUGUAAGUUUUUCAUUGCAUAGAGUAACUGGGAGCCGCUUGUAGGCAAACUCGCGGGUUUGCUGUAGGCAAAAGUGUAACACCAGUCAAUGAGAGCCUUACGGCUUAUCCCAAAAGGAGACACCAUUUGGUGGGCGGUUGGACUGGGGCGGUACACCCCUGAAAAGAUAUCAGGGGUGUCCAAAGGUCUGCUCAGGCGAGUCAGAAAUUCGCCGUAGAGUACAAGAGCAAAAGCAGGCUUGACAGUGUUCCUCACAGCACGGAACGCUGAUUGGAAACAAGGGUCUAGCGAACGCUAGUAGGUCCUUAAUGGGCCUCUAGUCUGACAGUGAAUUUACCCUGGGGGUAACUGAGUGGUCGUGGCUGAGAGUCCACAUCGACGCCACGGAUUGCGACCUCGCCGUCGGCUCAAGGCAUCCUGGCUGUGCAUAAGCAGCCAAGGGUGGAGGUGUUAACUCAUUAAAGCCUUUCGUUAGUUGGGUUAAGUACGGUGCGAGCCAGUAUGGAUACUAUCUGUUGGGGGUGCUGAUUGCUUGAGGGGAGGAUCCAUCCAGUACGAGAGGAACAGUGGGUCGUGGUCACUGGUCUACCAGUUGUCUGACAAGGCAAGCGCUGGGUUAGCCACACCGCAGCUGAUAAGAGCUGAAGGCAUCUAAGCUCGAAGCAGUCCCUGAAAAAAAGCAAUCAUCUGUCAAAGCAACUUUCUUGCGAGAAGGUUGCCGUAGCAGCAAGGGUUCCGAUAAAAUAUCGGCUUGAUAGAAUAGGGGUGUAAGCACAAAGCUUCGGCAAUGUGUUCAGCCCACUAUUACUAAAAACCCGAGAGUAUUUAC